rnacentral:rRNA from 1 species
UACGUAGGGUGCAAGCGUUGUCCGGAUUCACUGGGCGUAAAGCGCGCGCAGGCGGUCUUCUACGUCUGGGGUGAAAACCCGGGGCUCAACCCCGGGACUGCCUUGGAUACGGGGAGACUUGAGGAUCGGAGAGGCAAGGGGAAUUCCACGUGUAGCGGUGAAAUGCGUAGAGAUGUGGAGGAACACCUGUGGCGAAGGCGCCUUGCUGGCCGAUUUCUGACGCUGAGGCGCGAAAGCGUGGGGAGCAAACAGG